rnacentral:rRNA from 1 species
UGUUAAUAGAAUGUUGUGACUAUAUAAAAUCUAUACAACUUUCAGCAACGGAUCUCUUGGCUCUCGCAUCGAUGAAGAACGCAGCGAAAUGCGAUAAGUAAUGUGAAUUGCAGAAUUCAGUGAAUCAUCGAAUCUUUGAACGCACCUUGCGCUUCUUGGUAUUCCGAGGAGCAUGCCUGUUUGAGUGUCAUUAAUAUAUCAAUCUUCUCUUGUUGAGUGGUUUGGAUGUGGGGGUUUGCUGGCCUCUGAAAAGGGGUUCAGCUCCUCUGAAAAGCAUUAGCAGAGCGACUCUGUUCAUUAGCGUGAUAACUAUCUAUGCUGUUGAAUGUGUGUGGUUCAGCUUUCUAACCGUCCUUGGACAAAUUUAUCAUUUAUGUGACCUCAAAUCAGGUAGGACUACCCGCUGAACUUAAGCAUAUCAAUAAGCGGAGGAA